AAAACAAAGGUUGGUGGCAGCUCUAGCCUAGUCUUUACACAUCCCACCAUCAUCGUACGCUGCCGUAGCUUUGCCCAUAGUGUAAAUCUGUGUUUUCCCAAAACACAGGUUGUAGGUCUGCCCUAAUUUUCCAUCUCAGUUAUUUAUGAAUCUCAGGUUCAAUAUGAAACCAUUAAAGACAGAAAAUGAGGUGCGAUCAACUGUGAAGACUACUACCAAAUAUGUAUUUGUCGCGCCAGGUGCUAUAGGUGUUAUAGGAAGGGACAAGGACGAGGAGGGCUUAGAUCUUUGGUUGAGAAAGAGAAUAUGUCAACUAAGAGUUUAUUUCCUCAUCAACCUAGUGAUAUAGUUAAGCAAUACAUCCAAGAAAUUGAAGCAAGUGCAAUAGGGAAGAAACGAGGACAAGGGCUUAAAAAUUAUACCAUGUCUGCUAGUCAAGGAAUGGGAACGAUACAUAAAAACUCCAAGGUUCUUGAGAAAGAGUAUAUGCAAAUUGAUAUUCCAUUGCCUCCAUCUACUGAUCAAGUUAAGCAAUACACUCAAACAAUUGAA